UACGGAGGAUCCAAGCGUUAUCCGGAUUCAUUGGGUUUAAAGGGUGCGUAGGCGGAAUGAUAAGUCAGUGGUGAAAUCCUGCAGCUUAACUGCAGAACUGCCAUUGAUACUGUCAAUCUUGAGUAUAUUUGAUGUGGGGCGGAAUGUGUCAUGUAGCGGUGAAAUGCUUAGAUAUGACACAGAACACCGAUUGCGAAGGCAGCUCACAAAACUAUAACUGACGCUGAGGCACGAAAGCGUGGGUAUCAAACGG
rnacentral:rRNA from 1 species